UAAUAAUAUGUAUAUAUAUCCUCUCGCGAGUCAUGGCGAGAGUCUUCCUUUGUUGGACUUUGGUGAGGAAGGAGCAUUUCAAUCGUUUAGACAGAGUUGUGAAGUUGGAGAUUUUUUUUCUUUUUGAGAAUUCAAAGGAGAAACGCUUACAAGUUUUAACAGAUAAAUCAGAAGGAAAUGGCCUCGUGGGUUCGCAGCAUCACAUCCCCAUUCAGAAAAGCUUGCAUCUUCUUCAACAACUCCAAGGAUAAGAAGUCCCUGCCAGGGCAUGGGCAUGAUAACCGGGUCACGGAUUUGCAGGGUGAAGUGAUGGCAUGUGGUUACGAGGAUGUUCAGGUGAUGUGGUCUAUCCUCGACAAGUCCAAGCCCGGAGAAUGCAAAGUGGGUUCUUGAAGUACUUGAGAAUUGAAGCCCGGCAACUCUUCCGUAUAUCCCCAUCUGAUCAGCUAGCUAGCCCGGAGCAUGCUAGCUGUUUGAUUUCAUUUUGAUGGGGUUAUGUUUCGGUUUGUAGAUAACUUACUUAGGGUGCUCUAUUUUGGUAAGAUGAGCUUAAUCAUCCCCCUUUUCCAAAGAAGAAGGCAGCCAGAAUGAUAAAGAAAAGAUACAAAUUAAGGAUGACAAGAGGAAAUUAUUAGGUGAAGAAAGGCAAGAUUGAUAUACAUAUGUAGGAUUGUCUCUCUUGUUUUUUAUGAUGACUCUCUUGUCUGUAACUCUGUAAAUUCAUGAUGUUUCCAUAAUAGGGAAUCCCCAUGGUUAAUGAAGAUCCUGGUGAGAUUUAACGAAA